CUACGGGCUGCUCCAGUGGGGAAUAUUGCACAAUGGGCGCAAGCCUGAUGCAGCGACGCCGCGUGAGUGAUGAAGUAUUUCGGUAUGUAAAGCUCUAUCAGCAGGGAAGAAAAUGACGGUACCUGACUAAGAAGCCCCGGCUAACUACGUGCCAGCAGCCGCGGUAAUACGUAGGGGGCAAGCGUUAUCCGGAUUUACUGGGUGUAAAGGGAGCGUAGGUGGCAAGGCAAGUCAGAAGUGAAAAACCAGAGCUCAACUUUGGGACUGCUUUUGAAACUGUCUAGCUAGAGUGCAGGAGAGGUAAGCGGAAUUCCUAGUGUAGCGGUGAAAUGCGUAGAUAUUAGGAGGAACACCAGUGGCGAGGGCGGCUUACUGGACUGUAACUGACACUGAGGCUCGAAAGCGUGGGGAGCAAACAGGAUUAGAUACCCCCGUAGUC
rnacentral:rRNA from 1 species